rnacentral:rRNA from 1 species
UACGUAGGGGGCAAGCGUUGUCCGGAUUUAUUGGGCGUAAAGAGCGUGUAGGCGGCCAUACAGGUCCGUUGUGAAAACUCGAGGCUUAACCUCGAGACGUCGAUGGAAACCGUAUGGCUAGAGUCCGGAAGAGGAGAGUGGAAUUCCUGGUGUAGCGGUGGAAUGCGCAGAUAUCAGGAGGAACACCUAUAGCGAAGGCAGCUUGCUGGGACGACACUGACGCUAAGGCGCGAAAGCGUGGGGAGCGAACAGG